rnacentral:rRNA from 1 species
GACGAACCGUACGAACGUUAUUCGGAAUUACUGGGCUUAAAGGGUGCGUAGGCUGCGCGGAAAGUUGGGUGUGAAAUCCCUCGGCUCAACCGAGAACUGCGCCCAAAACUACCGUGCUCGAGGGAGACAGAGGUGAGCGGAACUUAGGGUGGAGCGGUGAAAUGCGUUGAUAUCCUAAGGAACACCCGUGGCGAAAGCGGCUCACUGGGUCUCUUCUGACGCUGAGGCACGAAAGCUAGGUAGCGAACGGGAUUAGAUACCGUAG